rnacentral:rRNA from 1 species
UACGGGGGGGGCAAGCGUUGUUCGGAAUUACUGGGCGUAAAGGGCUCGUAGGCGGCCAACUAAGUCAGACGUGAAAUCCCCAGGCUCAACCUGGGAACUGCGUCUGAUACUGGAUGGCUUGAAUCCGGGAGAGGGAUGCAGAAUUCCAGGUGUAGCGGUGAAAUGCGUAGAUAUCUGGAGGAAUACCGGUGGCGAAGGCGGCAUCCUGGACCGGCAUUGACGCUGAGACGCGAAAAGCGUGGGGAGCGAACAGG